ACUCAACAACGCAGGCGAAGGUGAACUCUUAGACGCAGAGGUCACUCCAGCUAUCAGUGACCUAGCAGGACAGACUUAUCAAUAAACCCUGGGCCAGUUCUAAAAUUGUUAAGCAAACCGAGGUAAAUCAAGAUGGAGUCCUUGGAUGUCAUGGAAGAGAAUCUGGGGUGAAGAGAUUCUGAGGUCAUUGAGGGGUGGGGAUUGGUAUGUUUCCUGGAGGGGUGGGGAAAAAAAAAACAUGAGCUGAGAAAAUGUAGUUUAGAUCCCGUAUAACCUGUGUUUCCCAAUCUCAGAACGGGGUCUAUGAUUCCCCAAAGCUAAGGUGAACACAGAUGUUGUCUGUGAAGUAUGGGGUCCCUAGUGUUGAUCUAGAAAAAUCUAACCAGCAACAGAGGAAGGUCGUAACAACAGCUUUGUGUUGGGAGCUCCAGAUAACCUCGAAAGCCUGACUCAUUAUUUUGACUGCUGACUGCUCUGCCCCGUGCUCAUUAGCAUUCAGGGGUGUGUGGGUUUGGACUGCCUACUCUAACACCCAUGUGUCAAAGAGACGGCCACUAGCCUGUGGUAUUAUUUGUGAGCUAAGAGACGGGCCCUGGUCAGAAGUGAGGACGGUGAGUUGUACAUCCAGAGUGGGUGCUGGUGUGCUAGUUGUUCUUGUUGCCUAGCUACAGUGAAGGGGGCAGAUCCCUCCACUGUUGGUGUCUUUCGAAGUGUGCUGCCAAAGGCCCAAAAGCAACAGGUCAGCUGAUCAUGAGGCAGUGUCUUCACAAAUGUAGCCUGAAACCUUAGAUCUUCCUGCCUCAGUCUCUUGAGUGCGCUGUUAUCUCACACAGUUCGUUGUAGUGACCAAGGAUGGGUUUCUAGCUAUCGAAUAGGGAUUGAUAUAAUCAGGGACAAGUGAAGCUGAAGAUGGCUAGCAGGAAGAAUGAAGAGUCUUUUAGAGGUCACAUUUCCUAACGUCUCAUUCAGUUGACAUUGAUAAGGGACUCUUGGUGACUCACCUUGUCUGCUGGAGUCCCCUGUACCUAUAUCUUUUAGUGUCCACAGAGCAGGCACAGGCUCUAUCUGGUUUUCCUUGUUGCUAGGCCACCCAGAUGGCCUCCUAACAGAGCAGGAGGCUGUAGACAUCCUCUCCGAGGAGGGAACAUUUUUGUCCUGCAAGGCCAGGCUGAUUAGAGAGUCAGCCCUUUAAGGACCCUUUAAACAUCCUCAGGUCUACCAUUCCCCAAAGCUAAGGUGAGCACAGAUGUUGCCUGUAAAGUGUGGGGGUCCCUGGCGUUGAUUUAGAAAUAUCUACCCAGCAACAGAGGAAGGUCAUAGCAACAGCUUCUAGACUCAUUUGCAUCACGGAUAAUGUUUUAAAAUAGCUUUAUUUCAGAAAGCCAUUAAAUCCUGAUAACUGGGCAUUUUCAUAGACAGAAGAACAAACAAGGAAUGACAUUAACAUUAUCUUUCCCGCACACAUGUGCCGGUCUAUCCAGCGAAGGCCGAUUUGGGGCAUGGCUUGCCAGUCAGGCAGCAAGAGGUUUCUCUAAUGGGCCAAAGGCAACCCAUCUCUAAAAGCCACAGCUGCCCGCUUUGUUCCUCUGAAGGAUUAUGAACCCAAAUCUCUUUGUCGCUGUGCAUAGAAC
rnacentral:lncRNA from 1 species